UACAGAGGGGGGCAAGCGUUGUUCGGAAUUACUGGGCGUAAAGGGCGCGUAGGCGGCCGGCUAAGUCGAACGUGAAAUCCCCGGGCUCAACCCGGGAACUGCGUCCGAUACUGGUCGGCUUGAAUCCGGGAGAGGGAUGCGGAAUUCCAGGUGUAGCGGUGAAAUGCGUAGAUAUCUGGAGGAACACCGGUGGCGAAGGCGGCAUCCUGGACCGGUAUUGACGCUGAGGCGCGAAAGCCAGGGGAGCAAACGGG
rnacentral:rRNA from 1 species